rnacentral:rRNA from 1 species
AUGGCACCUCACCACCCAUGGCGCUUCCUCCAGUUCUUGCUACUGCUGCUGGGGGUUUCAUCUGCUGCUGGAGCACAGGUGAACAUCACCCUGGGCUCCUCCUUGACGCCCCAGGGGCCAAACAGCUCAUGGCUCUCGCCCUCCGGCGACUUCGCAUUCGGUUUCUUGCCAAUGGAAGGUAACACCUCCUCGUACCUCCUUGCAGUCUGGUUCAACAAGAUCCCUGAAAAAACUGUCGCUUGGUAUGCCAAGAGCAGUCAAGACACACCAGUGCAAGUGCCAUCCAGCUCUGUGCUGCGGCUCACGGCUGCUGGGUUGCUCUUGCUUCGCAACCCAUCGGACGAUGAAGUCUGGAGUCCCGGGGCCCCUGGUGCGGCCUACGCCAGAUUGCUCGACACAGGCAACUUCAGGCUUGUCGGUGCAGAUGGCAAACCAAAGUGGGAGACCUUUGACGUCCCGGCUGAUACCAUCCUUCCCACACAAGUGCUUCCUGUGGGUCAGCAGGAAAAGGUACUUAGAAGCCGUCUCAUCCCUAAGGACUACGCCAAUGGCCGGUUUCUCUUAGCUGUGCAAUCUGAUGGUAAUCUUGUAUUCUAUCCAAUUGCUGAGCCUACCACAAAACGGUACGAUGCAUACUGGGCAUCCAAUACAGUUGGGAACGGCUCACAGUUGGUGUUCAAUGAAACUGGAAGGAUAUACUUCACAACGACAAAUGGGACACAGGUCAAUAUCACUUCAGCAGGGGGGGUCUCAAUGGGUGAUUUCUUCAAUCGUGCCACACUUGACACAGACGGUGUAUUUCGGCAAUAUGUCUACCCAAAGAGCAGACAUGCCGUAAUAGUAUGGGGCUUGAAAUGGAGGGUGGUGAGCUCAAUUCCCCAGAACAUCUGCCAGGUGAUAAGGGAAACAAAUGCUGGCAGUGGGGCAUGUGGUUUCAACAGUUACUGCAGCUUCGAUGGCACCCAGAAUCAAACAACAAUAUGCCAAUGCCCAGAACAUUACAAGUUCUUCGACGAGGAGAGAAAAUACAAAGGUUGCAGGCCAAACUUUGAACCACAAAGCUGUGACCUGGAUGAGGCAUCAGCGGCGGCCAAGUUUGAGAUGACUCCCAUCAAUGGUGUUGACUGGCCUCUAGCCGACUAUGAGGAGUACAACCCCAUAGAUGAGACUGAAUGCCGGAGACUCUGUGUGAUUGAUUGCUUCUGUGCCACAGCCGUCUUCCACACAAGCACAAAUACCUGCUGGAAGAAAAAGCUCCCUUUAUCAAAUGGGAAUAUGGCGGCAGAUGUAGACAGGACGGUUCUAAUGAAGGUGCCGAAGAGCAACAAUUCAGAGUCCCAGCUUAGCAGCAGCUCCACCAAAUGGAAAAAAGACAAGAAGUACUGGAUUCUUGGGAGUUCCUUGUUUUUUGGGGGUUCUGUAUUGGUAAACAUUCUCCUUGGCAGUAUUCUGCUCUUCGGCACUUACUGCGGUAUCUCCAUAACCUCCAAGAAGAAACUUAUGUCAUUGCAAUCAUCAGGUAGUUCUAUCUUGCCCCCAAAGAUUUUCACUUACAAUGAGCUGGAGAAGGCAACUAGUGAUUUCCGUGAGGUGCUUGGCAGCGGUGCCUCUGGUACCGUGUACAAAGGACAGCUGCAAGAUGAGCAUGCGACAAGCAUUGCCGUCAAGAAAAUUGGAAAGCUCCAGCAAGAGACUGAAAAGGAAUUCAUGGUGGAAGUGCAAACCAUCGGUCAGACGUUUCAUAAGAACUUGGUCAGGCUGCUUGGUUUCUGCAAUGAGGGAACUGACAGGCUGCUAGUAUAUGAGUUCAUGACCAACGGCUCGCUGAACGAGUUCCUUUUCGGUGAUGGUCGGCCACAUUGGAGCCUCCGUGUGCAAGUUGCACUUGGAGUGGCACGAGGGCUGCUCUACUUGCACGAGGAGUGCAGCACACAGAUUAUCCACUGCGACAUAAAACCACAGAACAUCCUGCUCGACGACAACUAUAUGGCGAAGAUUGCAGACUUUGGCCUGGCGAAGCUUCUUCGAGCCAAUCAGACACAAACAUACACCGGCAUCCGGGGUACUCGAGGUUACGUUGCCCCAGAGUGGUUCAAGAACAUAGGGAUCACUUCCAAAGUGGAUGUUUACAGCUUUGGGGUGAUCCUGCUGGAGCUUGUGUGCUGCAGGAGGAAUGUGGAGCUAGAGAUCGCAGAUGAAGAACGCUCAAUACUGACUUACUGGGCAAACGAUUGUUACAGAUGUGGGAGGAUCGACUUGCUGGUAGAAGGCGACGAUGAGGCAAACUUCAACAUCAAAAAGGCAGAGCGAUUCGUGGCUGUCGCCCUUUGGUGCCUCCAGGAGGAGCCGACUAUGCGGCCAACCAUGCUUAAAGUGACACAAAUGCUUGAUGGAGCAGUGCAGAUCCCCACGCCUCCGGAUCCCUCUUCCUUCAUCAGUUCACUUCCGUAG